GCAAAUCUUGCGCACAGCUAAAAGAACUUGAGAAAUUUGAAAACCAUGAUCUGGAGACCCCCUCCAAAAGAAAAAUCUGACUGCUAAAGGAAGCGACGACAAGAGAGCCUUGUUAGUCUCCUAUGCUGAUUUAAUUACCAUGUAAAUGGAGGAAGAUGACAACUUUAAUCUUGCAAUUAGGAAUGAAAUAUAUUUCCGGAAGAUUUACGAAGCUGCUGAGGGGGGAAUGAACCCACACAUCAUAUCUGUCAUUUAUACCUCGACUGAAGACAAGGAAAUUACAUGUAUAAAAGACUGUUGUUACGUGUAAUAGAAUAACGUUCAAUUUGGCUCAUUUUGAGAACAAAAUUUAACGUAUUUUACUCUAUGAUAUACACGUACAUGAAAUAAUCUGUCGUCAAUAUGUGACGCGGUAAAUUUCUCUCAAUGACGUUUUGAAACACAGAAAAACAAACAGUUUAAGGGAAUUCAAUCGCAAUUUUUUUUAUAAUACCAAAAUGUAAAUAUGUACAUACAUAUAAUACACGAUAUAACAUUUAUCUUUAAUAUCAAGUAAAGCUUAAUUUAUGCUUAAAGAAUACUGUGACAUUUCAAGAUGAUCACCGUAAAAAUUUUCAAUUUUUAUCAUAUUUCAAAAUUAUGUCUGCGCAUUAAACGGAUAACGAAU
rnacentral:sRNA from 1 species